GAUGCCGGAGACGUGUGGAUGGCAGCAGCUAUACUGGUAACACCAUGUGGCGGUUUGUUCGACCUCAAAGCGUCAGCAAAAUUUUUCUUUUGUCCCAUGCUGUUCUCGCCAAAGGCAAAUAAUAUAGUCUCCCUCUAUGCAUCCAUGAUUACGCUUUUGCCGAAGCCUUUAAGCAAGCAGCAACUCAGUAACACGUAGCCCGUCAAUGCAAUACAUUUUGUACGUUCCGUCUCGGGUCAGCGCCACGAGAUGGCACCACCGACGUUGCUGAUUACGUCUACGUCUCCGCUAUUUCGUAAUGGUGUGCGUGCACGGACAAGCUGUAUAAAACUCGCUAAAACUCUCGAAUCACGCAGCGUGGAACAAACUCUACAUGAGGAUACGCGUCGCAUCGCCGAAAAUACAGCGCACAUACGCUGCUUUGUGGUUGCUUGUUGGUGUCUUUAGGCUUAGCAUUUCUUUUGUGACUUUAGGUAUCGAUCGAUCCAAGCACACUCACAGUCACCAGCUUUCUUUUCUUUAAGCACAGAAUAAACACUGGUCUAAUCACGUUGUGCCAGAAAUUAGCACGCCUAAUGAAUAUAGCUCUCUAGCUCGUUUUAUGACGUAAGUGUGCUGCGAAGAGAGCUGAAAUUUCCGAUCGAUUAGCGGAAUAAUCCUGAUGCGCGAAGCCGCCGUUAUCUCUUGAUCACUUCCCAAAUACGAAAAAAAAAAAAAAAAAAAAAGAUGUGUCGAAAUUCGCGACUUCACAGUGACGUAGCGGUGCUGGGAUUUGAGCGCGAAAUUCAAAACACGAAACUUUCACCUCCAUCUUCUUUAGUAAUGAGCCUAUUACCGAGAAAUUAAGGAAAUCGGAGUUUUGACGGAAUAGUUUAUCACUCUAAACUUUAUAAGUGCCCCAUCGAAGGGACACCGAACAACAACGCUGAAUUAAUAAAGCAGUAUU
rnacentral:lncRNA from 1 species